CGGUGUUUGGCACCUCGAAUGUCGGCUCAUCACGAUCCUGGGGCUGAAGUAGGUCCCAAGGGUAUGGCUGUUCGCCAUUUAAAGUGGUACGCGAGCUGGGUUUAGAACGUCGUGAGACAGUUCGGUCCCUAUCUGCCGUGGGCGCUGGAGAACUGAGGGGGGCUGCUCCUAGUACGAGAGGACCGGAGUGGACGCAUCACUGGUGUUCGGGUUGUCAUGCCAAUGGCACUGCCCGGUAGCUAAAUGCGGAAGAGAUAAGUGCUGAAAGCAUCUAAGCACGAAACUUGCCCCGAGAUGAGUUCUCCCUGAGACUUUAAGUCUCCUGAAGGAACGUUGAAGACGACGACGUUGAUAGGCCGGGUGUGUAAGCGCAGCGAUGCGUUGAGCUAACCGGUACUAAUGAACCGUGAGGCUUAACCUUACAACGCCGAAG
rnacentral:rRNA from 1 species